rnacentral:rRNA from 1 species
GGGUUGUGAGGUUAAGCGACUAAGCGUACACGGUGGAUGCCCUGGCAGUCAGAGGCGAUGAAGGACGUGCUAAUCUGCGAUAAGCGUCGGUAAGGUGAUAUGAACCGUUAUAACCGGCGAUUUCCGAAUGGGGAAACCCAGUGUGUUUCGACACACUAUCAUUAACUGAAUCCAUAGGUUAAUGAGGCGAACCGGGGGAACUGAAACAUCUAAGUACCCCGAGGAAAAGAAAUCAACCGAGAUUCCCCCAGUAGCGGCGAGCGAACGGGGAGGAGCCCAGAGUCUGAAUCAGUGUGUGUGUUAGUGGAAGCGUCUGGAAAGGCGCGCGAUACAGGGUGACAGCCCCGUACACAAAAAUGCACAUACUGUGAGCUCGAUGAGUAGGGCGGGACACGUGGUAUCCUGUCUGAAUAUGGGGGGACCAUCCUCCAAGGCUAAAUACUCCUGACUGACCGAUAGUGAACCAGUACCGUGAGGGAAAGGCGAAAAGAACCCCGGCGAGGGGAGUGAAAAAGAACCUGAAACCGUGUACGUACAAGCAGUGGGAGCCUCUUUUAUGGGGUGACUGCGUACCUUUUGUAUAAUGGGUCAGCGACUUAUAUUCUGUAGCAAGGUUAACCGAAUAGGGGAGCCGAAGGGAAACCGAGUCUUAACUGGGCGUUAAGUUGCAGGGUAUAGACCCGAAACCCGGUGAUCUAGCCAUGGGCAGGUUGAAGGUUGGGUAACACUAACUGGAGGACCGAACCGACUAAUGUUGAAAAAUUAGCGGAUGACUUGUGGCUGGGGGUGAAAGGCCAAUCAAACCGGGAGAUAGCUGGUUCUCCCCGAAAGCUAUUUAGGUAGCGCCUCGUGAAUUCAUCUCCGGGGGUAGAGCACUGUUUCGGCAAGGGGGUCAUCCCGACUUACCAACCCGAUGCAAACUGCGAAUACCGGAGAAUGUUAUCACGGGAGACACACGGCGGGUGCUAACGUCCGUCGUGAAGAGGGAAACAACCCAGACCGCCAGCUAAGGUCCCAAAGUCAUGGUUAAGUGGGAAACGAUGUGGGAAGGCCCAGACAGCCAGGAUGUUGGCUUAGAAGCAGCCAUCAUUUAAAGAAAGCGUAAUAGCUCACUGGUCGAGUCGGCCUGCGCGGAAGAUGUAACGGGGCUAAACCAUGCACCGAAGCUGCGGCAGCGACGCUUAUGCGUUGUUGGGUAGGGGAGCGUUCUGUAAGCCUGUGAAGGUGUGCUGUGAGGCAUGCUGGAGGUAUCAGAAGUGCGAAUGCUGACAUAAGUAACGAUAAAGCGGGUGAAAAGCCCGCUCGCCGGAAGACCAAGGGUUCCUGUCCAACGUUAAUCGGGGCAGGGUGAGUCGACCCCUAAGGCGAGGCCGAAAGGCGUAGUCGAUGGGAAACAGGUUAAUAUUCCUGUACUUGGUGUUACUGCGAAGGGG